CAAAACGUACUCCAACCAAAGUGUCUAACUCUUACGUAGCGAGAAUUGGCGCUGGUAGCAGCUUUUCAUUUUGUAUUAACUUUUACCAACUGGCCAACCAAAUAGUCGUUUGGGCUCUGUCCCGUGAGGCCAUUUGAUUCAAUUUUAUGCAUUUCUCUUUCUUCAACUACUGUUGCUUUAUUUAUUAUUUAUUUUAGGAUCAAGUCAACUACAAUAAAUCCCCCAAAUUAUGCGGUCAUUAGGCCAUCUUUAGUCAUGGGCUAAAUAUAGUUAUAAAAUAAUGCAAAACUCAUCUCUAGUCACAGGCUAAAAAAAUAUAUGGCCAAAUUUAGAGGACCACCUUUAGCCCCUUAGCCCUCCCACUAGGCAACUUAUAGCCCAG
rnacentral:lncRNA from 1 species